GAUGGCUUCAAUAAAAGAGCUACGUGAUAUUCUAGUGAAACCCUUCACGAAUUCCAAGUGGCAACAGGUCUUCCGCAAGAUAUUUACCAACAACUUCAAGCUCAAUAUUGAAUUUUGAGUUCCGUACGUCUUUAUGUGGAAUUUAAAUCUUUACUUUCGACUAAAAUGGUCCGUAUUCGUGUCAAUAUUGAUUUUAUCAGAGGUUUAGAUAAAAUUAGUAACCUGUUGACUAAUUUUUCUUCAAAACGCUUUCAUAUUGUUAGCUCUUCCCAAUUUUCACCUAUUAUCUCGAGAGACACUUUUCUAGUUUCCUGAGCUUUUGCUUCGUAAUUGGACAUCAUAAAGUGGAAGGUAUCUCUAAAGUAGAUAGAUUUGUGGAACCAAGAACUGAAAGAGAAAGCGCGCCGACAUUUUUAAAAGAUGCUAUUGACCCGGGAAUCACAGCCGAACAUCAUGAUCAAACAUAACUAAAUUCGGGAAACAUUCAAUUUAGAAUAUUGUUGGAAUGAUUUUACUUUUAGCUUGAGAUUCCAAAAAUAGAAAGUGUCAAAAAACAUUUAUCGCAAAGAGUGUGAAGGAUAUGAAGAAACGAUCGAAUAUCUGCUCUGUUGGGGCUUCUCCUGGAUGAAGAAACGACACAGUUUUUAGAAGAUAACCGAGAUAAAAAUACUGGAUACUGUGUCGAAGAGGAAAAUUCUCUAGUAGUAACAUUGUUAAAUAGAAAUGAUCUUCCAGGUUUGGAACUACGUCUAGAAGAAUAGAGGUUUUUAUCAAGUUCAGUUCUUUGUAACUAUAUCUAAAUAAAAGGUCGUUUGUUAAGCCUU